GCCUGGUGGUUCCUUGAGGCGGCUCUUCAGUGCUGAUCAUCGAGGUUUAUUUAACAGGCAAAUAUUAACCUCUGCGAUUUAAUGCUUGGGAGCUGCUCACAUCUGCAGCUUCCACAGCCCGGUUGCAGAAACAUUU